UACGGGGGGAGCAAGCGUUGUUCGGAUUUACUGGGCGUAAAGGGCGCGUAGGCGGCCACCGCAAGUCGACUGUGAAAUCUCCGGGCUUAACCCGGAAAGGUCAGCCGAUACUGCGGGGCUAGAGUGCAGAAGGGGCAACUGGAAUUCUCGGUGUAGCGGUGAAAUGCGUAGAUAUCGAGAGGAACACCUGCGGCGAAGGCGGCCACCUGGACGGUAACUGACGCUGAGACGCGAAAGCGUGGGGAGCAAACAGG
rnacentral:rRNA from 1 species